UACGUAGGGGGCAAGCGUUGUCCGGAAUCAUUGGGCGUAAAGAGCGCGUAGGCGGUCCGGUAAGUCCGCUGUGAAAGUCAAGGGCUCAACCCUUGAAUGCCGGUGGAUACUGUCGGGCUAGAGUCCGGAAGAGGCGAGUGGAAUUCCUGGUGUAGCGGUGAAAUGCGCAGAUAUCAGGAGGAACACCGAUGGCGAAGGCAGCUCGCUGGGACGGUACUGACGUUGAGGCGCGAAAGCGUGGGGAGCAACAGG
rnacentral:rRNA from 1 species